rnacentral:misc_RNA from 1 species
AACAUCGCGCACCUGCGGGAACCUGCGGAAGGAUCACUACAGAGUUGCAAAACUCCCUAAACCAUUGUGAACGUUACCUAAACCGUUGCUUCGGCGGGCGGCCCGGGUCCUUCCCGGCGCCCAUCGGCCCUCGCGGGCGCCCGCCGGAGGUAAACCAAACUAUUGCAUUGUAUGGCCUCUCUGAGUCUUCUGUACUGAAUAAGUCAAAACUUUUAACAACGGAUCUCAGAUCGGAAGAGC